CUUAACUUUACAACCAAGGAUGGGAAUGACGGAACCAUGUAUCUCGAAACCAUCUCGCCAAUACUCCUGCGCGCGUUAUGUUUAACAGAACAUAAGGUGUGAAGUACAGGUGGAUAGAAGGUUAGAGCCAUUUUGAAA
rfam:Paenibacillus sp. Soil787 contig_9, whole genome shotgun sequence.